AUACGCACCAUAAACCAUUUGCAAGAGUUACUGCCUCAAGCUUAGCCUAAAAAUCUUUGCCAUUUGCAAACUGAUGGAAUUUAUUAAGCGAGUUAAGAUCUCUAACCAUUGAAUUUAGGUGAGAGAGGUCCAAAUAAGCCUAGUCUGUGUCAAGUUAUCAACAUCCAGCAUCAUUCUAACUUGUUGUAAAGAGUAUGAAGUACUAACUGUUACUUCAGCAAGCUCAAAGUUUAGCUUUUCCUGGCUGAAGUUGUAGGUUCUGAAGUUUCAUUGCCAUGCCCAUGUUCCCAGAAAUCUUCAAUUUGCCUUGAAAGAAGGCUGUCUGAGGAUUCAUUUUGCCCGUCAUCAGAGCUAACAGAUCGGUGUCAGCCAUCGUAAUUGUACAGUCUGCCUUCUUAUCUGAAUUAACUGCUACUGAGCCUUUUCCAUUCUUCACAUCUACUACCCAGGUUGCCUCCUUCCCACCAGGACCAUCUUUUAUUUUGAAGGCAAAGACUCCACCAAUUUUCUUGACAAAUUGUUCUCCUUCCUCUUGGAGCUUCUUUUCUAUCUCUUUGAAGACCAAGUGUGACUUAAAUCCAUCAACAGCCGCGCUGAGAGGCACGGCCGUAACUCGGCCAUCACUGGCGGCUCCGGGGAAGCCCAUGGCGUACAGCGUCACCACCACAGCCCCGCCGAGGCCCAGGUUGUGCUGCAGCGCCCGCCGCGCACCGCCCACUUGCCGCCUCCCGGCCAGGCCGCGCAGCUGCCAGCAGAGUUCGGCGCACUGCGCCAGGCCUGUGGCACCAAGAGGGUGUCCCUUUGAAAUCAAACCGCCGCUAGGAUUAAUGACCCACUUUCCCCCGUAGGUAUUGUCUCCUCUGUCAAUCAGAUCACACGCUUUUCCUGGUGGAGCAAUAUUUAGAAAAGGAGAAACGCUCAGUGGUUUUUAAAACAUCAUUUUUCAGUUCUGGCGUCACAAACCAAAGGUGCUGCAAACACUUUCUGUCCGCUAAACCUUAGAAAUACAUCUGCGAGGGCAGGCUGAACUGAGCCCAGCAGCCUUGGUGAGGCUUGGCUUACGAGUGGAGAAAGGGAAGGUGGGAGAGGAGCCAGGUGGUGCCUGAUGGAAAGGCUCGUUCUACUUAGCUGUCCAGCUGUGCAUAUGCAGUGUUGUGACAUGGCCAGCAUAACGCAGUCAUUAGUUGUUAUAUCAAGGAAGCUACCAUGAAAAUUAUGGGUUUUGUAUAAGAAAAGUUAGUUGUAAUUAGUGACUGCUUUCCUUUAUCUCCUGAAGGAUUUACUUGCAAAGUUAUCAUCAACACUAGGGG
rnacentral:lncRNA from 1 species